UACGUAGGGGCCGAGCGUUGUCCGGAGUUAUUGGGCGUAAAGCGCGCGCAGGCGGCUUCGCGCGCCCGACGUGAAAGCCCCCGGCUUAACCGGGGAGAGUCGUUGGGGACGGCGGAGCUUGAGGGCGGGAGAGGUCGGUGGAAUUCCCGGUGUAGUGGUGAAAUGCGUAGAGAUCGGGAGGAGCACCUGUGGCGAAGGCGGCCGACUGGGCCGACCCUGACGCUGAGGCGCGAAGGCGUGGGGAGCGAACGGG
rnacentral:rRNA from 1 species